rnacentral:rRNA from 1 species
UACGGAGGGUGCAAGCGUUGUCCGGAUUUAUUGGGUUUAAAGGGUGCGUAGGCGGCCCGUUAAGUCAGUGGUGAAAGCCUCCAGCUCAACUGGAGAACUGCCAUUGAUACUGGCGGGCUUGAGUACAGACGGGGUAGGCGGAAUUGAUUGUGUAGCGGUGAAAUGCAUAGAGAUCCGGAGGAACACCAGUGGCGAAGGCGACACGCUGGGCCGUACCUGACACUGAACCGCGACAGCAUGGGGAGCAAACAGG